rnacentral:lncRNA from 10 species
GGGGCACACGAGGCUGUGAAUAGUGCCUGAAUAAAUGAAUGAACAAAGAAACUCGCUCCCGCUUGUGCACAGUCCAGGAGCUUUGCCCCAACUAGUGCUGUCACAAGUCAUGUGACAACAACCAGGGGAAUGUUCCCAUUAACAGAGACGGUGGGACGCCAAGGCAUGCUCCCACCUCCAGCCUCCCAUCAUUGUUGUAACAUCUUUGGACACCUCCCUCCUUCUCCCAAGGAAAGCCACAGCCCUGUGAGUGACCAGAGGCAACAGAACAAAGACCGGAUUCUCAGUUUCCUGAUUCCCUCGCACAGCACGGUCUCUCUGCAGGGAGUCUGGGAAUCCUGACACUGCCUGGAUGGAGUGUCCACACCAGUGGCUAAAGGAUAGAAAAGCCAAUGGGAAAGAAAUGGACGUAGAAACCAUGACUUGGAAGCAGAAGUUGAGUCAAGGACACACCUGCAGAGAAAUCACUCAAAACUCCCACAGCAUCAGGCUCUGCCAAGUUUUUGUCCUUCAUUCCUCAGAGUUUGAUCUUCAAGCACAACACGGCCACAUGUUUCCUUCACAGACUUUUACAGUCUUCAAAUCCUUCUCGUGAACAUAUUGUCAUUAGAUUUUUGCAAUAGCCUGCUAAGGUAGGAAACACAACUAUUAGUGUCCUCAUUUCACAAACAAGGAAAGUGAGGUUUAGAGAGGCUGAGCAAGCUGCUCUGAUGUCUCACCAAGUGCUGGUUCCAUCAUGUGGCAUGGCCUGACCAAUGCGAAGCAGGAAUGCAAAUAAGAAUCAUAUUGGCUGUGAGAAACUGCUUUUCCAUUGCAACAAAAUCAUGGAGACUGCAUCCCAGUCUUGUGUAACAAGCAGGAGGCUUCCAGGAGAGGAGCUGAGGUUCUAAUUCUGAGCCUGCUUUUAUUAGCUGCCAUUUGGCUUGGAGAAAGGGAACUACGGGACUUCACAAUGAAAAAGAUUGGAGUUUGAAUCUCGACUCUGUCACUAUCUGUAUAACCUUAGGCAAGUUACUUUAUCUCUUUGAGUCAUAGUUUUGCAAUCUACAAAAAUGGGAUGAUAUCCAAUUUUGAAGCUUAAUUGAGAUUACUUAGCAAAGUACCUGGAAUCUAGUUGGAGUUCUAUCAAUAGUAAUUCUCCAUUUUCUCUUCCCUACUCAUUUCUUCCUUUGUGAACUGGAAAGAAACACUAUACCAUAAGAGCAUGGACUUCAGAGCCAGGCGGCCUGGGUUUCAAUUCUAGCUCAGCUAUUUGUUGGCCAUGUGAUCUUG